CAAGCGAGUGGCGAACGGGUGAGUAACACGUGGAUAACCUGCCUCAAGGCUGGGGAUAACAUUUGGAAACAGAUGCUAAUACCGAAUAAAACUUAGUAUCGCAUGAUAUCAAGUUAAAAGGCGCUACGGCGUCACCUAGAGAUGGAUCCGCGGUGCAUUAGUUAGUUGGUGGGGUAAAGGCUUACCAAGACGAUGAUGCAUAGCCGAGUUGAGAGACUGAUCGGCCACAUUGGGACUGAGACACGGCCCAAACUCCUACGGGAGGCUGCAGUAGGGAAUCUUCCACAAUGGGCGCAAGCCUGAUGGAGCAACGCCGCGUGUGUGAUGAAGGCUUUCGGGUCGUAAAGCACUGUUGUAUGGGAAGAAAUGCUAAAAUAGGGAAUGAUUUUAGUUUGACGGUACCAUACCAGAAAGGGACGGCUAAAUACGUGCCAGCAGCCGCGGUAAUACGUAUGUCCCGAGCGUUAUCCGGAUUUAUUGGGCGUAAAGCGAGCGCAGACGGUUGAUUAAGUCUGAUGUGAAAGCCCGGAGCUCAACUCCGGAAUGGCAUUGGAAACUGGUUAACUUGAGUGUUGUAGAGGUAAGUGGAACUCCAUGUGUAGCGGUGGAAUGCGUAGAUAUAUGGAAGAACACCAGUGGCGAAGGCGGCUUACUGGACAACAACUGACGUUGAGGCUCGAAAGUGUGGGUAGCAAACAGGAUUAGAUACCCUGGUAGUCCACACCGUAAACGAUGAAUACUAGGUGUUAGGAGGUUUCCGCCUCUUAGUGCCGAAGCUAACGCAUUAAGUAUUCCGCCUGGGGAGUACGACCGCAAGGUUGAAACUCAAAGGAAUUGACGGGGACCCGCACAAGCGGUGGAGCAUGUGGUUUAAUUCGAAGCAACGCGAAGAACCUUACCAGGUCUUGACAUCCUUUGAAGCUUUUAGAGAUAGAAGUGUUCUCUUCGGAGACAAAGUGACAGGUGGUGCAUGGUCGUCGUCAGCUCGUGUCGUGAGAUGUUGGGU
rnacentral:rRNA from 1 species